CCUGGUGGCAUGGAAGGUGCAAUUGACCGUUUGGUUAACAUAUACAAAAAUGUGGUUCACAAAACUGGGGGUUACCUUACAGAAAGUGGUUAUGUCAAUCUGCAAAGAGUACAGAUGAUCAUGUUAGCAGUUGGUGAAGUUGAGGAUAGCAUUUUUAAAAAGAGAAAGGAUGAUGAGGACAGUUUUAGAAGACGACAGAAAGAAAAGAGAAAGAGAAUGAAGAGAGAUCAACCAGCUUUCACUCCUGGUGGAAUAUUAACCCCUCAUGCCUCGGGUUCAAGAAAUUCACCAGGUUCUCAAGUAGCCAGUAAUCCGAGACAAGCAGCCUAUGAAAUGAGGAUGCAGAAUAAUUCUAGUCCUUCAGUAUCUCCUAAUACGAGUUUCACUUCUGAUGGCCC